CUUUUUUCACUUCGUUCAACAGGUCUGGUCAGCUAACAAUUUAGGCUAAAUAACGUACCCAUGGCAGGCUAUGUUUCCUUUCUGUUCUGAAGAUUUUUAUAAAAUUGGAUGACGAAAGAAGUUAAACUAAACAGAGACUGGACGUGAACGUCUGUGCUGUGCUGAAGUCAGCAUUUCCUGUUCAGGUUGGCCUCUAUCCUGUCACCCUACUGCAGUCCACACGGAAAUCUGCUGAACAAGGGGGCAUUUCCCUUUCACUGGACCAGGCAGUCCAGAUGUCAAGACAAAAACUGAAGAUGUGACGUUUGUCUAUCUUCUUUUUACAUAGUGGCUGUGAUGGCUAGCUUUUGUGCAGCUUUUGAAAGGUUGGCUGAUCCAGUGUAACAUCCACAGCCAUAUGGAAAUUCAAGGGGCUGUACAAUAUUUACCUUUAACUUGAUUGCUAUUCCUAUCUGUUGUCAUGUCUCAGUAUUCUCAAAGUGAAGCAUUCCUAAAUCUUACUAACUGUAUUAAACAGAUAUCCAACAUAGGCUCCAGCCCAUCCAAAUGACACAGAGGAAACAGAGUUGUCAGUUUGAAAAUUGUCAGAUAUUUGCAUUUUGAUGCCAUUUUGAGUGAUACAAGUACCCAUCCCACAAAAAGCAAAAAACACACAGCCAUGCAGCCACUAGCCACACACAGAGUAUUAGAUGGGAAUGCCCAUCUAUGGUGCUUUCUGCAGCAGAAGAAGCACGGGUCACACCACAGAAAGUGAAACUGUUCUUGUGGUGCAUCUACUGAAUGGGCAACCUAGAAACAAAGCCUGCACUCUACUCUAAUGCUCCCAUUUGGCUCUUAAUUUAUCUACAUGUGGAAGUAAAUCUUUAAAAUCCAAUCCCCGGGCAUCUGACAAAAAUCAGCCAAACAAUGUCCAAUUUACAUCCUUGCAUAAAUAAAUCAAAGCCACUAGGGAGCAUUAGAGUAGUGCUUGGACAUAAAUUUUUUUGUUUUCAAGCUUUUAGCAAAACCUGUUCAGCUUAAGCAUGAUUUAACUUGUGUGCAACUGAUACCAGGAUGAAUUACAAAUAGCAACUGACCAGAAGACAGAAUCUCUGAACAUACACCAGAUAAAUGUUGUGAUGCUAACACAAGCCUGCAUCCCUCCCUGUUUGAGCUCUGAACCCUCCUGCAGCUGUUGCUAGGAACGGAACAUCCGAUUUGUGGAGUGAGCACGGUUAUCAUCUCCCAUAUCGCCGCACACUGACCUACACGUGUCAAUUGAUUCCUGUGCUACAUUCAGUGGCCAAUCAGAAGCAGGGGUGGGGAAGGCAUUGGCCAAUGGCUGCAGACACCAAGAAUGUGGCUCUCAACAAUCACUAAGCAGAGCACAGAUACUGUGCGGUUCAGGCUGUGAUAUUCAAUGCUAUAGUCUUGUAGGACUGUGGAGAACAUGAUUCACACAGCCGUGCAUUCAUGCGUUUAAUCAAUGAAAUCAAAAAAUUAUUUUGGUUAACCACUAUACUGAUUCUGCAAUUACUUUACCAUGAACCACACAUCUGUGCAUUUAGUCAAAUAACAACGCCUUAUAAACAUAACUGAAUGAAUAAAUUAAUAUUGACUAUGCAAAUACACACAUAGCUUGUUUAAUCAGACAGUUCUUAGUACUUAGUUUUAUUAUCGCAGCACACAUUCUAUUAAUAAGGGAAAAGCAGAGUGCAAUCACUGUUGCUGCAUAUGCUGUGAGCAAGAAACCUAUGCAGAAAUUCCCAACUCACAUUUGCAGCCAGUAUUGCAGCUAAGUUCCCUCUGAAAUAGUAAAAGUUACUGACUAAUAUUUAGACACCCAAUUUAAAAAGUCGACGCUCAACGCCCAUUACUCGGAGCUAUCAGUUUUCCAUGCAAAGAUGCACAGAUACAAACAAAUGUACUGGCCUGGCACAGAGCAGGCCUUUUUUGGGGAGCAGUGUUCCUGGCUGUAUAUUAAUCAGACUAAAAGCCUGUUGGCGUUUCAGUGAUCUCACCACAGUGCAAUAACUAAUACUGUUACCCCAGUGGGACCAAAGGUGCAAUGGCCAAUGCAAUAACAAGGCAUAUCAGUACCCAAGCUUUUCAUAAAUGGAGCUAAGUUCCAACAUAUAGUGCAUGCAUAGCAUUUAUGUGACAAUAAAUAGGACGGAGUGUAGCACAGUGGGUAAGGAACUGGGCUUGUAACCGAAAGGUCGCAGGUUCGAUUCCCGGGUAAGGACACUGCCGUUGUACCCUUGAGCAAGGUACUUAACCUGCAUUGCUUCAGUAUAUAUCCAGCUGUAUAAAUGGAUACAAUGUAAAAUGCUAUGUAAAAAGUUGUGUAAGUCGCUCUGGAUAAGAGCGUCUGCUAAAUGCCUGUAAUGUAAUGUAAUGUAAUAAAACUUGAAAUACUG